CGGUGGAGCAUGUGGUUUAAUUCGACGCAACGCGAAGAACCUUACCUGGGCUAGAAUGCCUCUGACAACCCUAGAGAUAGCCCAAGGACUCAGAUCAAGGUGUGACGAGCGCAACCCUUAUCUUUAGUUGCCAGCGGGAUGUCAAGUCUCAUGGCCUUUAUGUCCAGGCUACAUACAUGGCCGGUACAACCGCUGCAAACCUGCAAAGGGGAGCCUCGGAAAAAGCCGGUCUCAGUUCGGAUUGAAGUGCAACUCGACUUCAUGAGGUUGGAAUCGCUAGUAAUCGAGAUCAGCAUGCUGCGGUGAAUACGUUCCCGGGUCUUGUACACACCGCCGUCACAUCACGAAAGUGGGUUGUACUAGAAGUCGUCGCGCCAACCCGUAAGGGAGGCAGGCGCCCACGUAUGAUCCAUGAUUGGGGUGAAGUCGUACAAGGU
rnacentral:rRNA from 1 species